rnacentral:rRNA from 1 species
AUUGAACGCUAGCGGGAUGCUUUACACAUGCAAGUCGAACGGCAGCGCGGGCUUCGGUCUGGCGGCGAGUGGCGAACGGGUGAGUAAUGUAUCGGAACGUGCCCAGUAGCGGGGGAUAACUAUGCGAAAGCGUAGCUAAUACCGCAUACGCCCUACGGGGGAAAGCAGGGGAUCGUAAGACCUUGCACUAUUGGAGCGGCCGAUAUCGGAUUAGCUAGUUGGUGAGGUAACGGCUCACCAAGGCGACGAUCCGUAGCUGGUUUGAGAGGACGACCAGCCACACUGGGACUGAGACACGGCCCAGACUCCUACGGGAGGCAGCAGUGGGGAAUUUUGGACAAUGGGGGCAACCCUGAUCCAGCCAUCCCGCGUGUGCGAUGAAGGCCUUCGGGUUGUAAAGCACUUUUGGCAGGAAAGAAACGUCGCGGGCUAAUACCCCGUGGAACUGACGGUACCUGCAGAAUAAGCACCGGCUAACUACGUG